AUACUUACCUGGCAGGGGAGAUACCAUGAUCACAAAGAUGGUUUUCCCAGGGUGAGGCUAAUCCAUUGCACUGUGGAUAUGCUGACCCCUGCGAUUUCCCCAAAUGUGGGAAACUCAACUGCAUAAUUUGUGGUAGUGGGGGACUGCAUUGGUGCUCCUCCCUG
rnacentral:snRNA from 1 species